rnacentral:rRNA from 1 species
GAUGAACGCUAGCGGCAGGCUUAAUACAUGCAAGUCGUGGGGCAGCAUGAGUAGCAAUACUUGAUGGCGACCGGCAAAACGGGUGAGGAACACGUACACAACCUUCCUUCAAGCGGGGAAUAGCCCAGAGAAAUUUGGAUUAAUACCCCAUAAUAUAUUUGAUAAGGCAUCUUAUUAAUAUUAAAAGCUUCGGGCACUUGAUGAUGGGUGUGCGGCUGAUUAGAUAGUUGGCGGGGUAACGGCCCACCAAGUCUACGAUCAGUAGCUGAUGUGAGAGCAUGAUCAGCCACACGGGCACUGAGACACGGGCCCCGAUCCUACGGGAGGCAGCAGUAAGGAUAUUGGACAAUGGACGAAAGUCUGAUCCAGCCAUGCCGCGUGAAGGAUUAAGGUCCUCU